rnacentral:rRNA from 1 species
ACAAGGUCUCCGUUGGUGAACCAGCGGAGGGAUCAUUACCGAGUUUACAACUCCCUAAACCCCAUGUGAACCAUACCAUUCUGUUGCUUCGGCGGGAUUGCCCCAGGCGCGGCCGCGAGGCCAGCCCUGGAGCCAGGCGCCCGCCGGAGGACCCUCAAAACUCCCUGUAUUUUUCUCUAGUGGCUUUAUCUGAGUGGACUGUACGCAGUACAAAAAAAAUGAAUCAAAACUUUCAACAACGGAUCUCUUGGCUCUGGCAUCGAUGAAGAACGCAGCGAAAUGCGAUAAGUAAUGCGAAUUGCAGAAUUCAGUGAAUCAUCGAAUCUUUGAACGCACAUUGCGCCCGCCAGUAUUCUGGCGGGCAUGCCUGUCCGAGCGUCAUUUCAACCCUCGAGGCCCCCCUAGGCAGGGGGAACCCGGCGUUGGGGAUCGGCGCCCGCCUCGUCGCGGGCGGCCGCCCCCUAAAUACAGUGGCGGUCCCGCCGCAGCCUCCCCUGCGUAGUAGAAUUACAGCUCGCACCGGAGCGCGGCGCGACCACGCCAUCAAGGCCCCAGC